CUCUUGAGCUAAAUAGGUUUUACCAAUAAUUCCACCGUCAUGUAUACGGGCGGAUGGGUUACCGGGUUUUCCUUGGAAUUGGUGAUGGACUCGGGUUUUCCGUUUGAUCCGUAGAGGCCCGAUUCCCAACUGAUCGUUCAUCUCCCAUUCAAAUAGCUCACUGACUCUGUCCCCAAUCGCAGGAUGAAACUCCUGGCAUCGUCUCUGAUGAUGAGCCACUAAAUGUUCCGGAGGAGAGGUUCCUUCUUUUGCCAUUAACUUUUGCCGAUUUACAUCCUAGUUCCAGUCAGGAUCCUGCAACUCAUCAACUGAAGGCAGUGCCUCGAGUGGAAAGAAAAAGACGCUUACUGAAAGCAGUGCCUCGAGUUGAGAGAAAAAGA